rnacentral:rRNA from 1 species
UGAGUACGAGAUGCUACGGCGUCGAAGCAGUCUAUGUCAGACUUCCAAGAAAAGCUCGCUAUGUCAUAAAUAAAAGAUGCCUGUACCAUAACCGACACAGGUGGGUAGGUAGAGUAUACUAAGGGGCGCGAGAUAACUCUCUCUAAGGAACUCGGCAAAAUAACUCCGUAACUUCGGGAGAAGGAGUGCCUUCUUUAAGAAGGUUGCAAUAACAAGAUCCAAGCAACUGUUUAUCAAAAACACAGGUCUCCGCUAAGUCUCAAGACGAUGUAUGGGGGCUGACGCCUGCCCAGUGCCAGAAGGUUAAAGAAAUUGGUUAGCUUUGGCGAAGCUGAUGACUGAAGCCCUGGUGAACGGCGGCCGUAACGAUAACGGUCCUAAGGUAGCGAAAUUCCUUGUCGGGUAAGUUCCGACCCGCACGAAAGGCGUAAUGAUUUGGAUACUGUCUCGGAGAGGGACUCGGUGAAAUAGACUUGUCUGUGAAGAUGCGGACUACCUGCACCAGGACAGAAAGACCCUAUGAAGCUUUACUGUAACUUGAAAUUGAAAUUGGACUUUAUUUGCGCAGCAUAGGUGGAAGGCUUGGAAGGUAUUCUUGCGGGACUACUGGAGCCAUCAGUGAGAUACCACUCCUAUAAUGUUAGAUUUCUAACUUUGAAUCAUGAUCUGGUCAAAGAACAGUUUCAGGCGGGCAGUUUGACUGGGGCGGUCGCCUCCCAAAUGGUAACGGAGGCGUACAAAGGUUUCCUCUGAACGGGUAGAAAUCGUAUCUAGAGUGUAAAGGCAUAAGGAAGCUUGACUGUGAGACCUACAAGUCGAGCAGGGACGAAAGUCGGUCUUAGUGAUCUGACGGUGCUGAGUGGAAAGGCCGUCACUCAACGGAUAAAAGUUACUCUAAGGAUAACAGGCUGAUCUCCCCCAAGAGUUCACAUCGACGGGGAGGUUUGGCACCUCGAUGUCGGCUCAUCGCAUCCUGGGGCGGUAGUACGUCCCAAGGGUUGGGCUGUUCGCCCAUGAAAGCGGUACGCGAGCUGGGUUCAGAACGUCGUGAGACAGUUCGGUCCAUAUCCGGUGUAGGCGUUAGAAUAUUGAGAGGAGCCUUCUUUAGUACGAGAGGACCGAGAAGGACAUACCUCUGGUGUACCAGUUAUCGUGCCAACGGUAAACGCUGGGUAGCUAUGUAUGGAGAGGAUAACCGCUGAAAGCAUCUAAGUGGGAAGCCCACCUCAAGAUGAG